GUUCUCCACAGCUACCUGGAUACGAGGUGUUCUCCACAGCUACCUGGAUACGAGGUGUUCUCCACAGCUACCUGGAUACGAGGUGUUCUCCACAGCUACCUGGAUACGAGGUGUUCUCCACAGCUACCUGGAUACGAGGUGUUCUCCACAGCUACCUGGAUACGAGGUGUUCUCCACAGCUACCUGGAUACGAGGUGUUCUCCACAGCUACCUGGAUACGAGGUGUUCUCCACAGCUACCUGGAUACGAGGUGUUCUCCACAGCUACCUGGAUACGAGGUGUUCUCCACAGCUACCUGGAUACGAG